UACGAAGGGUGCAAGCGUUGUUCGGAUUUAUUGGGCGUAAAGGGUGCGCAGGCGGGUCUGAAAGUCAGGUGUGAAAUCUCGGGGCUCAACCCCGAAACUGCGCUUGAAACUCCAGAUCUAGAAUGUCGACGAGGGUAGGGGAAUUUCGCAUGUAGGGGUAAAAUCCGUAGAUAUGCGAAGGAACAUCAGAGGCGAAAGCGCCUACCUGGGAGAAUAUUGACGCUGAGGCACGAAAGCGUGGGGAGCAAACAGG
rnacentral:rRNA from 1 species